GGGGUUGCUUGCUGGCUGAAAGGAAGGAGAAUCAAAUUUAGAAAUAUCUGAAAGGAAAUCCAGAUAUAGGCUAUUAAUAGAUGAGAGGUGAAGCUAGGCUAUAUCAGCUGCUGAGGUACUACCAAUUAUACUUAGAUUAAGGAGAGGAUUUUAAAUAAGAGCAUGAACCUAAGGCCAUGAGAGUGGGAGGAAUAGUGAGCUUUCAAAACUUCUAAUUUUCAGAGGCAAGACCUCAACCAUGGCUUAUGUAUAUAACAAAGGUGAUUUUACAUAAUAAGAGAAAUGAAAAUUUAUUUUCAGGAAAGUUUAGGAAACUAAGAAAAAAAUAAGGUUAAUUGUGUUUGAGGGACUAUCUUAAAGUUUCAAUAGUGCCAUAAGAGGAAAAAAAUAGAAGAAUAUAGAAUAAUGAAAUUGUGAAGACUCUCUGGCUUAGGAGGCAUCCAUCGUUUACUGCUGCCCAAACUUCUCUACCAGGCAUUUAAAAUCUUCCAUUCGCAGGUAAUUAUCCAGUUGAUAUUUAUCUUGUUCCAGUCACCUUUAGAAAGCUGUUUGUAAUUAAUCAAACUCAAUAACAGCACAAAAGUAACAACUCAGGUGAAAAGAAAACUCACUUAUGUCUUCAAUGUCCAAUCAACAUUGCCAAAUGGGAGAACAGCAAGGGCAGUGACUGGAAGCUGGGAGAGAGGGUCAACAGCUGAAU
ensembl:lncRNA SLC8A1-AS1 SLC8A1 antisense RNA 1